GUGGGGAAUAUUGGGCAAUGGAGGCAACUCUGACCCAGCCAUGCCGCGUGGGUGACGAAGGUCUUCGGAUUGUAAAGCCCUUUCGGCGGAGACGAUGAUGACGGUAUCCGCAGAAGAAGCCCCGGCUAACUUCGUGCCAGCAGCCGCGGUAAUACGAAGGGGGCUAGCGUUGUUCGGAAUUACUGGGCGUAAAGGGCGUGUAGGCGGUCCGCUAAGUCAGGUGUGAAAGGCCUGGGCUCAACCCAGGAAAUGCGCCUGAGACUGACGGACUUGAGUCCGGGAGAGGAUGGUGGAACUCCCAGUGUAGAGGUGAAAUUCGUAGAUAUUGGGAAGAACACCCGUGGCGAAGGCGGCCAUCUGGACCGGUACUGACGCUAAGGCGCGACAGCGUGGGGAGCAAACAGGAUUAGAAACCCGGGUAGUCC
rnacentral:rRNA from 1 species